UACUAACUUGGAAAUAUUUGCGAUAUUUGUGCUUAUUUAUGACGGUAAAUGUGACUUUUUAUACAUAUCAUGGACUAUAACCUGACAUCAAUUAAGGCUGAGGCAGCUGUUUAGUGCAAGUAAGAAAGUUUUGACAAUUUUUGAGAAAAAUCUGCAAUAAACUCCCAAUUAUGUAUUAGUGCAAAAAAAUGCAGGGAUUUGCUGAUUUUGCGUGAAUUUCCACGAUAAUUCUCAAGAAACUGGAGGGACUGACUGAUAUAAUUUGGCAGUAAACAG